rnacentral:tRNA from 1 species
AUAGCUCAGAUGGUAAAGCAUCUGCCUGCAAUGCAGGAGUCUCAGGUUUGAUUCCUGAU